rnacentral:lncRNA from 1 species
AACUUCGUUUAUCCUUGUCCCGAUUUUGUGCCGGAAAAGAAUCUGGUUCGGCGUGUAGCGGCCGAAUUUGCUGUUUUUCUGCUUCAGCUUAGAGGUUUCUGUUGCAUACUCAUCCAAUAAGUCAUCAAUCUCAUAGAUAAGGUCGUUGAGCUUGAGUAGCCAAUCCUGAAUGGGCUUGCUUUCGAUUUGCUUCAUUUCAGCAUCUUCGACCACUGCUUGAACGGUGGAAAGUGUGCUCGACAGCUUCUUCAUCUCCUCACCGACACCCGUAAUCAGUGCAAACUCAUCUUCGAUCAGUGUGCUCAGGUUUGCAAGAACUACUUGAAGCAAUGCCUCUGCCAUUUCUCAACCAAUAAUUAAAAUGCAGAAAAACUCUGAGAUUUCCUUUUUUUUUUUUUUUUUUUGUGUGAUUGGGAGCUUAAUUAUAUGUAGAGAUCUUGAUGUAUUUUAUCAGAUCAAAUGCAUUUGGAGUACUCAAACAACAAAUGGCCGACAUGUUUAAGAAUGUGAUGUGUUGGAAAUAAAAUAGUAAUUGUUGUUAAUAAAGUAGUAAUAUUUUGUUUGAAUAAGUUGAUCUAUCUAACCACUCUUGGGCAACUCCUAUCAAAAAAAAAACCACUCUUGGGCAACGAAUGCAUGUGGGCGCCGCGUUCAAAGCUGAAGUCUCCAAUAUUGACUACGUUGCCUAAAAAAAAAAAAAAAAGAUACUUUUUUUGCAUUUUCUAUUGCAACUUGCAGAUCAUAUAUAUUUUUUCUAUUAGUGCAGGUGAGCUUUGAAUAGACGGUGGAAAUUAAUUGGGGAGAUGAGUAGUUGAGUUUGUAAGCUUACUUUAAUAUUGGGUGGUGAAUAGGACAUAUUUUAGCAUACAAUAUAGUAAAUUUAUUUGACAAGAUAACAAUAUAGAAAAUAUGAGGUGGCCGGUAAUUUUGUUUUGUUUUUUUUUUUUUUUUUUAUAUGGUUGUUACUUGAAGUUGGUGGGAUAAACAGACAAAAGGUUUUUUGAACAUGAAUUUUCCGGCAAAAAAAUCUGAAUAUAAGGAAAAAUUGAGUACCAACAUGCCAACAACAUAUUGAUGAACAAGCUCCAACGACCCAAACAAACGGCAAUCAAACUAAUAUCAAAUUAAAGGCGCGUGUAGAUCAACAAGAAGCUUGCACCAAAAGGCGAAAUCCCUCGUCCCCAGGGUUCCAUUCCUUGGCCCGACAAUGAUUGAUGGAGGAAUGUAAAUCAUGGUAACUCAACGGCCAGAGUCCCCGUAUCCGACACCUGGACACUCGGACACACCCGAACACUUCUCGGACACCCGUGUCGAGCCGUGUCUUAAUUUCGCUAAAAGUAGGACACCCGUAUCGGGCAGUGUCUACAAUUUUAAAAAAGUUGGGACACUUCUCUUGCGUUUUAAGAGAGAACCCUAAUGAAAAAAAAUGCGUAUUUUCUUUUCUCUGUAACGAGCAUUUUUCCCCCGUGCGAUGCAUGGGAUAUUAUUUAAAUAGUGAAAAAAAUAAUCAAUUUAAUAUAUAAUAAGAAAAUAUAGUAUACUAAUAUAAUAAAAUUUAAUAAUGUAAUAUUAUUCAUAUUGAAUUUCUAACUUUAUCUAUUAAGAUUUGAGAUAUAUUGAUGAAAAUUAGGAGAUCAAUAAUUGUUGAAAAUUAUAGUUAAAAAAUUAGUAUAUAAAAAAUAUUAAAAAUAAAUAAUUACAUAAAUAGCAAUAAGAUAGGAUUCUUUACGGGUUAGUUUUAAUUUUGAUAAUUGUUAAAAAUUAUAGUUAGAAAUUAGUAGAGAAAAAAUAUUAAAAAUAAAUAAUUACAGAAAUACCAUUAGGGUUUUUUAGGGUUGCCCAGCGUUUCUUUCUUUUAUAUAUAAGAUACAUAUUUCCUCUGUUUUCUUUGUGAGUCCAUCCAAAACUCCAAAAGUCUAGCAUGCGACGGCGACCAAGAACACGAACAAGGGUGAGCGGUUCUCUUAUGCAUGACGACUUAUACAUAUUUUUUACAAUUUAUAAAUGUACCCCUAUAUUUUUAUUAUUUAUAAAUAUAUACCUAUAUUUUUUAUAUUUACGCGUAUCCCCGCGUGUCCGUAUCCUAGUUUUUUGGAAAUGUUGUAUCACCGUGUCCGUAUCCGCGUAUCGUCGUGUCCACGUAUCCGUGUCCGUGCAGCAUAAACUGCGGCUGCCAUGAUCCGAUCCUAGGACCUUGCACCAACUUACCACCUACGGAAUCAGUUGAACUACACUAAUGCGGGCUAGAUCAACAAGAAGUAGUUUCCUCAAAACGAUGUAUCUGUAGAAAUCAACACAUUAUCUAACUACAUAUACAAGUAAAAGUGAAACAACAUAAUAGAAUGCCGAAAGGAAAGGCAAUAUUUGUUCAUUAGUUUCACUCCUAGAAAAAACUCAUCAUCAGCAUAUACUGCAAUACCAGAUCAUCUUGUUUUCAAUAGCUUAUGACAAAGAAGCAUGGAAGAAAAUUCAGAGUGGAAAUAGACAAGUUGAAAGAAUUUUUAUUUAUUUUGGCCAAAAAAGGAAAUUUUAUUUCAUAUAAAAGAACAUGGGGACCUCGUUAAAAACCUUGUUGGUCGGAACAAGGAAAAGAGUACCCCUAAAUACAAUUUCGAAAAACCCCUAGAAUAUAAUACAUAAAAAAGAAAGAAAAAUCCUGUCUAUGCUAUAUAAUGAGUUGAGCAGUUACGAAAGUACCGAAAAUUGCAAAAGAAAAAUCCAUAUAAUUACACGGUGACAAUUUGUAAUCACGAACUACUACUAAUGUACAAGUAGCGAAUAUGUUGUAUCUUGUGCCGGUCCUCCCCCUUUGCUCUCUCGCAUCUCUUUUCCAAUUCCGGGCAUCCACACACUUGCAGAUAUUGGAGAUUUGUCAUUCUUCGGAUACUAUCCGGAAGUGAUGCUAUCUUUGGGCAAUCGUGAAUGAACAGUUCUUUAAGAGAUGUUAAAUCUCCGAACCAGUCCGGCAGUGAACUCAACUGAGGGAGCUCGUACAUUUGUAGACUUUUGAGUGAGGACGAGAGGUGUUGCAAGGGUUUGGGUACACUCACCAUCUUCGGUAGGUCGCGUAGCAAUACCGUGUGAAGGCGGUGGAGGUGUUUAAUACCAUCCGGCAGCUCUACAAGCGCCGGGCAUUUGAGUAUGUACAGUUCCUCCAGAGCAGUGAGGUGUUGCAGCCCUUGUUCGGGCAGAGAGAGUUCGGUUGUAUCUGUUGUGCCAAUACUCAAUAUCUUGAGAUUGGUGAGGCUUUGCAGUGUCUCAACUCCAACGGUACAUGCGUCGCCACUAUUCUCCUCCUCGAAAAUCACUUGAAGAUUCGUAAGGUUGUGCAGGUCCGCAUUGGACAAUGAAGACAGUAAGAGUUUCGUGCACGUCAAUUUAUUCAACUUUGUAAAGGACGUCGACAGUGGUGGCAGUAUUAACGAAGGGCAGCGUUCGACGUAUAGCUCCUCGAGAUUCGAGAAUGCUUCAGAUAAUCUCAUCAUCACUUGCUCUUGUAUCAACAUUUUGAUGUUGGGGAGAUAUCUCAAACUCAGUUUUUCCAGAGAUGGGAAUUGUCUAGCGCUUACUAAUGCAUUUCCACUCCGAACUACUUCUUCCUCGAUAACGUACUCCAGCGCCGUCAGAGUAGCUAAACUCAUUUUUUUAAGACGGGGUAGCUUUCCCAGCUGCGGUAGGCGCAAGCAAUUGUUACAGUUUAUUAGAUGAAUUUCAACUACUUUGUCCAGAGUUGAAUUCGACAUCCAAACCGGUAAACACCUACCCAUGAAUGCCCUUAUCUCAAAAAUUUCGAGAUUUGGAUGAGGUUCAAGUGCUUCCAACAUCUUCUCAUCUAUAUCUAAAUCUUCCUCCCCUGAUUUUAGUGCAUGCUUGCCAUUACUUCCCCAAUCCAAACCCAGACAACGAAGAUUUUCUUUAUCGGCAAGAUUGGCUUUCUCUGCAUCCAUAGGGUCUUUCACCCUAUCCAGAUGAUGAAUUUUAAGAUUGCCGCCCAACUUCAACCGUUGCAAUUCCUCAAGUCGUCUACCUCCAUCACGACCCACUAUGAACUUACUCAAUGUUCUAAGGCUACUAAGUUCUCCAAUUUUAGAUGGCAUCCCCCUUAACGAGUCACAAUAUUCCAAGAAUAGAUGACGGAGAUUAAUUAAGUACCUCAUCUUCUUCGGUAAAGCCUCAAGCUUUUUGCAGUUCCAAAUUCAAAACAUGCAAGUUCCAUAGACUACAUACUGAGUCGGGUAGCCUACGAAUUUCAGUUCCAGACAAAUUCAAGUUCCGCAAAUGUUUCAAACUGCAUACUGCAGAAGACAAUUAAUUCAUUCUUAUCUUACUUGCAUCUAAUAUUCUCAAACUGAAAAAGUUUUUUAAGAUGAAAGACAUAUCCAUCUCUGAUUUAUAACUCGAAGGGAAGGCCACAAACUUUUUUCGUAGAUUUACCUGGCGGAUUUUGCUGCGAGAUGCACUUCUGACGUUCGUCCUCUGGACUUGUGCUCCAGGAAUUUUGUUCUCCAUGAUUGACUGGGCGAGGUCAUGAAGAAGAUCAUGCAUAAUCAAAGUGGUUGUAUUUGCAUCGGAAUCAUAUUGCAAAAUGGACCGCAUAACUAGCUCAUCACAUAUAUCAUUGCCAACAUCCACCGCUUCCAGUGCUCCCCUUGAUGACAUAUAUCCAUGCGCCAUCCACAUAUAGAUCAUUUUUUUUUUUCUUAAUACGAGAACCCUUGGGAAAGAUAGCGCAAUAAGCAAAACAUUGUCUCAACGCCAAAGAAAGAUGGUGGUAGCUCAAUCUCAAGGCUGGCAGUAUCAAAUUUUCUUCUUGUGGUAGUUCCCAUAUUUCACUUUCUUUGACAUGAUUCCAAUCCUUCUCUUCCCUCUUAAAACGCAACAGACCUCCAAGCGCCUUAGCAGCCAAAGGAACACCAGCACACUUGUUCGCAAUCUGCUUCCCUAUGGCUUCAAGCUUGGGAAAUUGCUCGUUCUCCUGUCCGAAUGCGCGUUCUCGGAGCAGCAUCCAACAGUAUUGUUUCGACAACCCUGUCAACAGAUGUGAUGGAAGUGUUCUCAUUAUAUCUGCAUUUUUUUUUAGGCGUGUGGUGACGAUAAUCGAACUCCCAGUGGAGCCACAUGCAACUACUUUUUUUAACUCAAACCACUUCUCUUGAUCGUCAUUCCACACAUCAUCCAAUACAAGCAAGUACAUUUUGUUGUUCAGCAACUCCCAGAGUCAACGCUGUAAAGUGUCCAAGCGCGACAAGUCCGGAGCACUGUCAGCCCGAGAUUCGAUCAUGGCUUUCACCAAGGUCUUGAGAUCGAAAUUAUCAGAGACACAAACCCAAAUUCUUUCGUCGAAAUGGUCAACGACCCGUCGAUCGUUGUAGACUAAUUGAGCUAAAGUAGUCUUGCCAAGUCCUCUAACACCAAUAAUGGGCAGGAUGGAGAUUUCGUCGUUGUCGUUGACCUGGUUGACCAAGAUAUCAACAAUCUUCUCCGCGUCUUCUUCUCUACCAUAAACUUGAUGAUAAGACUCGUUCAGAAUGGAACCGGUCUCACGUGCGGCAGCCACCUCAAUUGGCCUCUCUCGAAACGCCAUCUCGCGCAAAUGGAACUUUGCACGCUCUGCAGCAACCUCGUCCAAUUUUUGUGAAACUUCGUUUAUCCUUGUCCCGAUUUUGUGCCGGAAAAGAAUCUGCUUCAGCGUAUAGCGGCCGAAUUUGCUGUUUUUCUACUUCAGCUUAGAGGUUUCUGUUGCAUACUCAUCCAAUAGGUCAUCGAUCUCGUACAUAAGUUCGUUAAGCUUGAGUAGCCAAUCCUGAAUGGGCUUGCUUUCGAUUUGCUUCAUUUCAGCAUCUUCGACCACUGCUU